rnacentral:rRNA from 1 species
AUUGAACGCUGGCGGCAUGCCUUACACAUGCAAGUCGAACGGCAGCACGGGUGCUUGCACCUGGUGGCGAGUGGCGAACGGGUGAGUAAUACAUCGGAACGUACCUUAUCGUGGGGGAUAACGCAGCGAAAGCUGUGCUAAUACCGCAUACGCCCUGAGGGGGAAAACGGGGGAUCGAAAGACCUCGCGCGAUUGGAGCGGCCGAUGCCUGAUUAGCUUGUUGGUGAGGUGACGGCUCACCAAGGCGACGAUCAGUAGCCGGUCUGAGAGGAUGAACGGCCACAUUGGGACUGAGAUACGGCCCAG